rnacentral:rRNA from 1 species
UACGUAGGGUGCAAGCGUUGUCCGGAAUUAUUGGGCGUAAAGGGCUCGUAGGUGGCGCCGUAAGUCGGGUGUGAAAUCUCGGGGCUUAACUCCGAAACUGCAUUCGAUACUGCGGUGCUUGAGGACUGGAGAGGAGACUGGAAUUCAUGGUGUAGCAGUGAAAUGCGUAGAGAUCAUGAGGAAGACCAGUGGCGAAGGCGGGUCUCUGGACAGUUCCUGACACUGAGACACGAAGGCCAGGGGAGCAAACGGG